rnacentral:tRNA from 1 species
GGGGAUGUGGCUCAGUGGUAGAGUGCUUGCCUGGCAUGCAUCAAACCCUGGGUUCGAUUCCUCAGUACCA